UACGUAGGGUCCGAGCGUUGUCCGGAGUUACUGGGCGUAAAGCGCGCGCAGGCGGCGCGUCAAGUCUGGCGUGAAAGCCCCCGGCUCAACCGGGGAGGUCGUCGGAGACUGGCGGGCUUGAGGGCGGUAGGGGCUGGUGGAAUUCCCGGUGUAGUGGUGAAAUGCGUAGAGAUCGGGAGGAACACCUGUGGCGAAGGCGGCCAGCUGGGCCGACCCUGACGCUGAGGCGCGAAGGCG
rnacentral:rRNA from 1 species